rnacentral:lncRNA from 1 species
UGUGGACUGGCAGGAGCCGGAGCGAGGUACCCCUCAGAAAUGUCCUAGCUGAGGAUCUGGAUAGAAGAAAGCUCGCCAGAGAAACCCAUAGCCGUGUAGCUUCAUUUGACCCUCUCAGAAUCAGCAUUGUGGCUAAACUCCAGUGGAGUCAGUUUCUCUCAUUGCUCUUCAUGUGGACCGUCUAUUUUUCUUUCAGAUUUCUAAGCUACCGCUGCAGAUAUCGAAGCACAAUCAAUUGUUCCUUAGUAAGUUGGAGGAUACUUUGAAAGUAGACCUGGAUUAGUCAUGGCACAAAAUUUUUUCAUCACAAAUAUUCCAAAAAAUAUUUCUCAAAGUUAGGAUAGACUUUCUGUGUUUUCCUGGGAGAUAACUAAUAUUCUGGAAGGACACUCUCACAUGGCAUGCCCAUAUCAGCCUAGCCAAGGCUCAGGGCUCCUAGUUUGGUCAUUCAGGAUAACUUUGAUGUCCCAACACAUGUUCCCUAGAGGAUAACACUUAUCUGUGGCCCACUUAAUGAUAAUAGUAACAAUAAUGACUAAAUCUGCAUAGUAACUUGGAGUUUGCAAAUCCUUCAAAUAUCUACAAAUGUGUGCUCCUUAACAAUCUUUCCACUAGGGCCCUCUCACCCUGUGUCUUUGUCUUCAUAUUCUUUCCACACCAGAAACCAUCCUGGUUGAAUUUCCGGAUUUUGGUAGUGUUACACUAAGCUCAGCCUUGAGAAGGUAGGGGAUAGGGAUUAGCCUUUUUGGUGUUCAGUGCGCUAUCAAGUCAUGCCGCUGCUCAUAUUAGUUUCCAAAGACUUAGAAAUAAAGAUUUUUGUAGUUAGUGCUGAAAGCAGAUCGGCUGAAGUAGAUGAAACAUUAAGACAGCAACUGCUUUAUGCCUCUUGGUACACCCUGCAAGUCAUUCAACAACCUGCUCUAAGAACCACACUUUUGCAGGCUCCUUUAUAUACAUUCUAUACUAUGGGAUGAACAUUGAAUUUAUAGAAAGAUCACACUGAGAUGGUCUAAGGCACUCUGCUGCCUGGAAGAUAAAGAAGCCAAGGUAAGCUUCUCGAAGCUUUAGAAGUAGGAAAGACAGAGUAGACAAUACAAAUUGCAUAACCCAAAGCUGAGGUCUAUGCCAUUGCUUUAAUCUUGUUUUCUAUUCCCUAGUGUUCAGCCUACCCAUUACACCCUUAUUUCCAUGCCCACACUAGAUUCUCCUGAUAGAAGACUUCUGUGAAGCUAUUCCCAAAGCCGCAUUAUCUAAGAGAAGCUGGAGAAUACUUUAGAAAGCGAUUUGUAUCAAAUGGAAACUGAAGGUUCCCCCACAAGAGAUCUUCACGAUUUGAUACUUGAGCCCCAGGCUGGUGCCUCCAUGGACAUAGACGGACCUGCAUUUUCUUGGUCCCUGGUAUUGCCGGUAGUGAGGGCUCCGUGCCUGGGACUCAGGAGGGGAAUUGCUCCUGGCUCUGUCCCUUUUAGUACGUCACCCUCCC